rnacentral:lncRNA from 1 species
UCUUUAUAUCCUUCACCCAGUUGCCCCAAUGUUUUAACAUUUUACCAUAUUUGCUUUUCUCUCUAUAUAUAAAUACAUCUCACCUACUUUAUAAAUAGUUGAGGGUUGAGAGGUUUCAGACAUGACGCCCCCGUGCCCCUAAGUUCAUCCGUGUACAGUGCCCCAGGGCAGAGACAUGUUCCUCUAGAACCAUCGUUCAUUCAUCAGCUCUCGGAAACAAAGCACUGGUACUGUGCUGAGCGCUGUGGCACCGGCUCUGCUGGGCUCCUGGAUGCUCCAAGGCCCUGCUCCCUGGCUGACUGCCCAUUUCCUGUCCUCCUCCCGGCUUCAGGUGCGAGACAAGAAGCUUCUCAAUGACCUGAAUGGAGCCGUGGAGGAUGCAAAGACGGCCCGGCUGUUCAACAUCACCAGUUCUGCCCUGGCAGCCUCCUGCAUCAUCCUCGUCUUCAUUUUCCUGCGGUACCCCCUCACCGACUACUAAGGCCCGCCAGGCACGGCUGCUGGCAGAGACAAGCACUGAGACAUGUUUAUUCUCGUGGUCCCUGAAACGCAGGAUCCCAUGAGGUUGGGGCAGGGCAGGGCUUCUUGUCCUGGGGCCCCCUUGAGCUGUGAACUGGGCAGCAAGACCAUCAGAAGCUGAGUACAGCAAGGGGGCAGUGAGCUUGGCCCUCAGUCCACCCCCUCCGCCUCCUGGCCUCCGCCCUGCCUAUGUCUGGGGCCUGGGGGCUUCUCCCCUCGCUGCUGCACCCUGGCUUCCAGCGUCUGUGUCCCUGCCCUCACGUGCCCCUUCCCAGGCUCCUGGGGCCCCUUGGACCUGACACCUAGCAGGAAGGGCUUAUGCAAAAUUGUCCCAGGUUGGGAGGACUCACUCUGUGCUCCCCGACCCUGCCUCCUCCACGAUGUGACCCCGCUCAGAGCCCUUGUGUCUGUGAACUUUCAAUGAAAUACCCAUGCAGCUCCAGCCCAGCCUUCUACUUUGUGUCCCUGGCAGGGCAUGGAGAAGUCUGGAGGCUUUGCAAGCCUCCCUCAGGAACUGCCUGGUGGUCAGGGCCCCGGGUGCUGUGUCCCAACAGACUGCAGGAGACGGUCUGCUCCAUCACAGCUGUGCCAGACAGUGAAUGGGAAGGGGGGGCAUUUGGUGGAGGUACCCCAAACUCGAGUCGCUUAGAGGGUCAGGCAGCCUCCUGGGGGGACGGAAGGGGGUGGGGCACAGCCUCAGCUGCCUGCAUUGGCCAAAUCAGAGCAAAGGAAACCACAAAUUCACUCAGAAGGAAGCAGCAGGCAGAGACGAUAGACGCCUGGAGGGCUCUGGGACCCGGACAGGCCCCUUUACCUCUCUCGUGCCCAUCUCCUUAGCUGUAAAAUAGGAAAAUGGCCUUUCACUUCUAUAAUCACUGUGAAAAUGAAUGGAAGAUGCCGUUCAAAGGCCGAGGCCAGCGCCCUGACGGCCCAUGGCAUGUGCAGUCCACAAUGUGGGAGGCAGGAUGCAGGGGAUGGGCUCUGUCCCCUUGGAACUCAGGCACAGGCAUGGGGGUGCCAGGCAGCCCUGAAGACAAGCUGAUGAGGGUGCACUAGGAAAAGUGCAGGGCAUCGGCGAGGCACACGAAGGAGGUGGGGAGGUGAAGAUGGAGAAGAAGCCGAGGCAGUGGCCAUGGGUGUGGAGCCUCGCGCCGUGGGUGCCCAGCUGGUCUGGGAAACCGCAAGAAAUCCCGCAGCUCAGGUGCGCAGUGGGAAGGACUUGCUAUUCCGUGGGAAGGCAGGCGAACCUUCCCAGGGAAGGGGCAUGGCCGUGCGCCUCAUGUUUUGGGAAGCUCGUGCCCUCUGGGGUAGCGAGGCCAGCUUGGAGGGGAGUCCAGUGGACAGAGGUGGAUGCAAGUGGAGGGAGCUGAGCCUGGGCUGGGGCUGGCGGCAAAGGGCUGGACAGCAGGGCGCCUGCGUGGCAGCUGUGCAGUCAGUGGGGUUGACUGGUUUGGAAGGUAAGGUGAGGGAGAAGCCCGGAGGAUUCCUGUCCCUUGACUUGGACAGCCCAGUGGAGAGCACUGUGUACCAAGAGCAGGAAACCAGGGAGAAGAAGAUGUUGACUUUAAGAUACCAAGCAGAGAAGGGAAGAGCCUUCUGGGCUGGAGACGUGGGGUGCCUCAGAAGGGAGGACCUUGAGCUAGCAGCACAUGGGACAAACGCAGGGGACAGGGCACAGCCGUGGCAGGAGUGCAGCGAGCAAGAUUCUGGUCACAGUCCUGACCCAGAAACCUGCAGAGGAAGGGAGGGUGGCCAGCACCUGCCCAUGGGCCUGGGGUGCAGCCCAGGCGGAGGUGGAGGGGGUGCUCAGGGAAGAGGGGAGAGGAGUGUGUGACCUCAAAAUGGGAGGGCUUGGGGGUCAGAGUCGAGAGAGGGGACAGGGUGGGGACCAUGUGGGACUCUUGAGCACUGACCCUUGAACCCAGGCAGUGGUGGGAUGGGAGGGCAGGAGGCGGCAGGCUGCGAGGCUGAUGCGGGGCUGCACGGAGCUGUCAUUGAGCCUCUUGGAGGAUGGCGGGAGAAGUGCCAGGGGCGGCUGAAAGCCUUGCCGAGCCUGUGGGCAGCCUGGUUGUGGGCACUUCGGAUGCUUGCACCAUUAGACCCAGAGGCUUCCUGGACGAGCCUGGGCUGGAAGAGGAUGGCAGAGGCUGCUGGGCCUUGGAAGAGAGAGGGUCCUGGCUUCUAGUUCCUGGGGCAGCUAAGGCCAACCCCAGUGUCCAGGUGUCUUCCAUGUUAUGCCUGGGAGGGAAGAAAGUAGAGGGGCAAAUGCUUUCUUUGCCUAUUUUCCUUAAACAUUUGGUGGCAGUGCUGGUGGCUGCCUGGGAUAGGGGCCAGGAGGAAACACACCUGCAUUAGGGAAGCCCUCAGCCAGCUUUUCCCUGGGAUGUUCCUGCGCCUGGCUGAAGCUUUCUGAGUUCAUGUUGGGGAAAUGGAACGGUCACCUUCCAGCCAGUAAAGGCACCCCUAGCUCUUGGGAUGUUUGUAUCCAACUCCGGGCAAUGUGGGGCUACAAAGGCCCCUGGCUUCCACACCCUGGGGACCGGGGGAGGGCUGGUGCUCCCGCGGUGGGUGUCCACGGUGAGGUCAGGCCCCCACAGCAGGUGCAUUCUCGCCCUCAGCAGGCAGGCAAGCAGGCAUCAGCUCCGGCGCUGGUCUCUGGCUUCGAAGUCUGUGUCUUUGCCUGUCUGUACUCAUGCCUGACCUGCUGGCGCUCCCUGUCCACUGCACUCCUCCCACCUCAUUUUUAUGUGAUUUUGCACAGUGCCUGGCAGACAUUUGACAUUCAAUAAACAUUAUACGAACGAAAGAAUCAAUCCCCCUCUCACUCUCUCUGUCCUUCUCCCUGUGUGCCUCCAUAUAUUUGUGCAUCUUUUGGGAGUCAGGUGACUUUCCCUACCCUCCCCUCUCCCCAUGCUGCCCUGGUCACUGCCCUUGGGACCCCAGCCCAACAGGCCAGUUUAAAAGGAUUGCGGCUUGGCUCAGUGGCUCAUGCUUAUAAUCCCAGUGCUUUGGGAGACUGAGGCAGGAGGAUUGCUUGUGCCCAGGAGCUCAAGGCUGCAGUGAGCCGUGAUUGCACCACUGCACUCCAGCCUGGGUGACAGAGCGAGACCCUGUUUCAAUAAAUAAAUAAAGGAUCAAGACUGAGGGGACUGUAAAGGCCGAGCCUCACUGUGCAUCUGUGUGUGUGUGUGUGAGACUGUGUGCAUAUGUGUUCGUGUGUGUGUGUAGCGUGUGUACCUGUGUGCUUUUGUCUGUGUAUGUGGUGCAUGUGUGUGUGACUGCUUCUGUGUGACUAUGUGCAUGUGUAUGUGUUGUGUGUGACUGCAUGUGUGUGUGACUCUAUGCAUGCAUGUAUUAUGUGCACAUGUGUUUGAAUGUAUGUAACUGUGUGUGUGUUUGCAUGUGUGUGACUGCACGUGAUAUUCACAUUAUGUGUGCAUGUGUGUAUGCCUGUGUGCAUGUGUGUGUGCCUGUGUGCAUGUGUGUGUGUUGUGUGUACAAGGGUGUGCAUGUGUGACUGUGUGCAUGUGUGUAAAUGUGCUUUGUGAGCGUGUGUGUGACUGUGCAUGCAUGUGGAUGUGUUGUGUAUACAUGUGUAUGCAUGCAUGUGGAUGUGUUGUGUGUACAUGUGUAUGCAUGCAUGUGGAUGUGUUGUGUGUGCAUGUUUGUGACUGUGUGCAUGUGUGUGACUAUGUAUGUGUGUGUGUGUUGUGUGUACGUGUGUGGCCGUGCAUGAGUGUAUAUGUGCUGUGUGUGGCUGUGUGCAUGUGUGUGUGACUGUGUGCAUGUGUGUAUUAUGUAUAUGUGCAUGUGUGUGACUGCACGUGUGUGUGUACAUGUGUGCAUGUAUGUGACUGUGCGUGUGUGUAUUGUGUAUAUGUGCUGUGUGUGGCUGUGUGCAUGUGUAAGAUGUGUGUGCAUGUGUGUAUUGUGUAUAUGUGCUGCGUGUGGCUGUGUGCAUGUGUGUGUUGUGUAUGUCUGCAUGUGUGUAUUGUGUGUGUGUGCAUGUGUAAGAUGUGUGUGCAUUGGGGAGGAGGUGCUAUAGGGUCAUCCCCCAGCCUCCCUUCCCCUGACCACAGUGGUCCAGAGCUCUCCAGGCUCCCCUGCCCUUGCCAAGCCACUGCCCAUUCCUGCAGGUAGUGGAGCUUGAUGCCUCUUCUCCAGACAUUGGAAAUCCGCAUAACAUUCUUUCCUAAUUGCAUGUGCUCAGCUGUC